UCCCGAUUCCAGAGAUAGUAGCUCAACAGUUGACAUUAAUCGCUCGAAUUUCAGCAAAGGAUAGUCUGAAAAUUCUAGUACAAUCUGCAUUGCAUCCAUUGCAAAUUGUACACCUCCUCUCACACUGAACUGGUGGGUCAUAACAAUUUUUAUCAUCCAACUUUCAACUAACGUUCCAAUCUGAUAUAUAGCUUCGCAUUGAGAAGAGCCAAUCAAAAGCUUUUGGAGCAGUGCAAUGAUUUCUUUUAGCCUGGACUGAAAUCCUACAAUUUCUGCAGAAACCGAUGUUGAUAAUAGAGCAGCACCAGGAAGUUGUUCCUUAAUUACCCAUGUAUCAAGGUCAGAAUAGUUGUCAAGUAACGGCCUUAACGUUUGCGAAACUGCACGUAAAAUCAUGCGAAAAGAUCCAUUUGUUAAAGUAGAUAAUCUAGGUUUGACUUGAUAAAAAGCCGCAUAGUUUUCUGAUCCCAUUUUAUGUCCUAUACGAAUGUAGACAUCCUCAUCUUCAAUAUCAUCAAGCCAAUCCAUGAGUAACUUGAAGUUACUGUAAAGUUUACACAUCCGUUCAACUUCAGCAAUAUCAAACUUGGAUUUGUCUGUCUGCAGACUACCAGGUAAAUGAAUAGAUGAUGAACUUUCAUGAGAUUCAUAAAAGGCUUCCAACCAAUUAACAUACUGCAUCAUAGGCUUUAACUGAACAGAUCGCCAAAAAUUAAAUUGAUAAUCAAGAGAUGGUAAAUUUUGAAGCACGGAAAACGUCGUCUCAAUCAUGUCUCGAAAUCGUACAGUCAUUUUCGUGGGGACCGCUGAGCUGAAAUCAUCAGACUGAUCGCUUUCCAGCUCCCAAGCAUCUGAUGCAAUUUUUAUAUCUUCCAACUUUGUGAGGCUCAAUUGAGUCUCUAAACCCAACCAUUUAUCAUAAGUUCCGUUUUGCUCAAAAAGAAAAAUAAUUAAAGGGUCUUGGGUAUAAUGAAAAUGUUGCUCCAACCGCACAGAGUAUUGUAGGGUUUCGUGAACUAAAUGAACUAAAUAAUCAUCAUACUUUAUUAUAUGCGUUAAUUUUUCCUUUGCAACGUUGUUUAGCAAAUUGAUAAAUGUAAAAAAUGGAGGGACGCCGGGAAAAAAUUUUAUAUCACGCAUAAGCAUGUAGAAACUACGAUUAGAGCGAAAAACUUUUAGUAAGAACUCAAAAAACCAUUCUGGUUUUGACAAUACAUUUGUUUGCUUCUGAGACAUAAAGUGGUAACGAAACUGGUUUACAUAGGGGGUAAUGUACACCUGCAUAAAUAAUGGAAGACCUGUUUCAGAAUCUUUAAACGAUUGAAUGGAUCGGACAAAACCAAAAAAACUUUCAAAUUUUGAUGAUUCCUUCAAGUUAGGGUUAAUAGCAGGCCAAUUAAAUAAUGUCUUAAGUUUUUCGGUGAGCUCGUUCUUCCAUUUUUCUUUCACUUCUCUUUCCUUUUUCUGAAAAAGUAAUUCGGCUAUGUAAUGUAAACAAUCAGGUGCAAUUUCUGUCUCAUCUUUCUUCGUUGACAAUGUCGAAAAAUCGGUAGAAAAGUCUAAGAAAUUUGCAACAGUAUCGAGAGAAGCCGAUUUUUUGACAAAGGAUUGAUAUACGCAUAAUAACUCAACUGUGUCUCGGAAAAUAGGCGUCGGGUCGGCAGGUAUUGCUGAAUCUAACCAUGCGUCUUCAAGCCCUUCACUAGACCUUCGAAAUGCGGCAUCUUCGCGAGCCUGCCUCUUUUCUUCUUCGCUUAAAAUAGGAAGUGAGUUAGGAUCCGGAAGCUGAAGCUCAUUGACUUCUUGUUGAAAUUUCUCUACUUCAUCUGACUUAUAAGGAUGCCGUGUUCUUGAAUCAAUAAAAUCAAUUAACUGUUGGGACAUCAUCAAAAAGUCCUAGGUGACCCUUCAAUGAAGUUUCAGCUGCUAUUUGGUUCUUUGUUUACUUCUCUGAACAGUUUUGGAAUAGUCAAUGUGUUGGCACGACUUUAUUUACGGUGCUCGCUAAUGUUGCUAAUAUCAUAUAGUUUGAAGUUUUAAACAAUAAGACUAUUGCAAUAUAAAGUGAGUAGUUUUUAUUAAACAAAAAUUAAUAUUCAAUAAAUUGUUGGCUUAUACUUCCAAACUUGUGAUUCUGAGUGGGUUAUAUUUGACAAAGAUAUGCUGAUGGUUACACUUCGUCGCUUUUACGAAAAGAAGUGAAUUAUACGAUAUAAAUAGCAAAAAAGUGUCUCAAUUAUUCAGGUCUAUAUUACUUUUAUUAAGGACAUUAAGAUUUGUUGGUAUCGACUGCGCAUAUUUCGAGACAGAGUAUUUAGAUGUUUAAUGUCCUAGCGUGUGCCAAAUAAGGAAGAGUUUUUAUCCAUUAAAAACAGUAUAAGUAUUUUCACUUAGAAGAAGUUCACUAAAGCAAAUAGAUAUAAAGAAACAAAGAUAAAAUAACAAACAUCAUUGAACAGCACUUCGAAUACAUUAAAAUUGUAU